GAUGAACGCUGGCGGCGUGCUUUACACAUGCAAGUCGAACGGUGAAGGCGGAGCUUGCUCUGCUGGAUCAGUGGCGAACGGGUGAGUAACACGUGAGCAAUCUGCCCCUGACUCUGGGAUAAGCGCUGGAAACGGCGUCUAAUACUGGAUACGAGCUGCGAAGGCAUCUUCAGCGGCUGGAAAGAAUUUCGGUCAGGGAUGAGCUCGCGGCCUAUCAGCUUGUUGGUGAGGUAAUGGCUCACCAAGGCGUCGACGGGUAGCCGGCCUGAGAGGGUGACCGGCCACACUGGGACUGAGACACGGCCCAGACUCCUACGGGAGGCAGCAGUGGGGAAUAUUGCACAAUGGGCGAAAGCCUGAUGCAGCAACGCCGCGUGAGGGACGACGGCCUUCGGGUUGUAAACCUCUUUUAGCAGGGAAGAAGCGAAAGUGACGGUACCUGCAGAAAAAGCGCCGGCUAACUACGUG
rnacentral:rRNA from 1 species